rnacentral:lncRNA from 10 species
UGUGGAAACUAGGCCAGGUGUGGUAGCUCACACCUAUAAUUCUAGCACUGUGGGAGGCCGAGGUGGGUGGAUGGUGUCCACUGGAGAUGUGUUACUCGAAGGAUUUGUUGGGAGUUCUUGAUCAGAAGAGUGUAGGUUAAGAGGAAGGUUUUCACCAUAGACUGGCAGGGCCAGAGCUCCUGGGGGCCCAAACUGGGGGCAGCACAACCUCCAGGACUCCUGCAGCGGCCCCGAGGUGAGGGGCUGAGGGCAGAGCGA